rnacentral:rRNA from 1 species
ACUGAAUAGAUACCUGGGUAGUCCUAGCCCUAAACGAUGAAUGCUUGGUGUGGCGGGUAUCGAUCCCUGCCGUGCCGAAAGCUAACGCAUUAAGCAUUCCGCCUGGGGAGUACGGUCGCAAGGCUGAAACUCAAAGGGAAUUGACGGGGGCCCGCACAAGCGGUGGAGCAUGUGGUUUAAUUCGACGCAACGCGAAGAACCUUACCCAGGCUUGAACUGCAGAGGACAAUCUACGAAAGUAGACUUCCGCAAGGACCUCUGUAGAGGUGCUGCAUGGCUGUCGUCAGCUCGUGUCGUGAGAUGUUGGGUUAAGUCCCGCAACGAGCGCAACCCUUGUCUUCUGUUGCCAUCAGGUUAAGCUGGGCACUCUGAAGAGACUGCCGGUGACAAACCGGAGGAAGGUGGGGAUGACGUCAAGUCAGCAUGGCCUUUAUGUCUGGGGCCACACACGUGCUACAAUGGCAGGUACAAACCGUCGCGAGACCGCAAGGUGGAGCUAAUCGGAGAAA